GGAAUUUUGGACAAUGGGCGCAAGCCUGAUCCAGCAAUGCCGCGUGAGUGAAGAAGGCCUUCGGGUUGUAAAGCUCUUUUGUCAGGGAAGAAACGGGUCUUUCUAAUACAGAGGCCUAAUGACGGUACCUGAAGAAUAAGCACCGGCUAACUACGUGCCAGCAGCCGCGGUAAUACGUAGGGUGCAAGCGUUAAUCGGAAUUACUGGGCGUAAAGCGUGCGCAGGCGGUUUUGUAAGUCUGUUGUGAAAUCCCCGGGCUCAACCUGGGAAUGGCAAUGGAGACUGCAAGGCUAGAGUUUGGCAGAGGGGGGUAGAAUUCCACGUGUAGCAGUGAAAUGCGUAGAUAUGUGGAGGAACACCGAUGGCGAAGGCAGCCCCCUGGGUCAAAACUGACGCUCAUGCACGAAAGCGUGGGGAGCAAACAGGAUUAGAUACCCUUG
rnacentral:rRNA from 1 species